CCUUGUUCUCACAGCAUUUUUCGAUUAAUCGGAACGUGUUAUUAUCAAUAUUUUUAAUAUUAUUGCAACUGGAAGAUGGAAAAUGUAACACAGUACAGGUCGCUUUAUUUGGAAGGACUGGAUUCGAUUCACAUUGGAUUAAAAAAAUGGUUCUUUUUAGUAUGGUUUAAAAGUGUGACGACAUACUUAUCAACUCUCGUCUGCCACAUUUUCAAAGCAUUUCAACAUGAGGAUGAGAAAAUGAAACGCAAUUAAGCUUAAUGAAAAAUUAUGACAUUAGACAAAAUUAAAAGCUGGCGUAAAAAAUGGCUGAAUAAAAAAUAUUACAGUGACAACUCUCUUGGCAGCGACCGUAAUAGUGGAAAAUGUACGCUCAAAAGAAGUGUUCAUUAGGUCGUUUUCACUGAAGUAUAAUAAUAAAUUCUUUUAGCUUAAGCACACUUUAGUCAUGCCUCAAAUCAUGUAGGUUAAUUUGUAACACUUCUGUUCAGAUCCAAACUAAAGCGUUGUGGACUUAGGAAUGAAUGAAAAUUAUAAUCACUGCUGAUGAGAAAUUA